UACGGAGGGUGCAAGCGUUGUUCGGAAUCACUGGGCGUAAAGCGCGUGUAGGCGGCCUCCUAAGUCUGGUGUGAAAGCCCGGGGCUUACCCCCGGAAGUGCACUGGAUACUGGGAGACUAGAGUACCGGAGAGGAGGGUGGAAUUCCUGGUGUAGCGGUGAAAUGCGUAGAUAUCAGGAAGAACACCGGUGGCGAAGGCGGCCCUCUGGACGGAUACUGACGCUGAGACGCGAAAGCGUGGGGAGCGAACAGG
rnacentral:rRNA from 1 species